rnacentral:rRNA from 1 species
AUUGAACGCUGGCGGCAGGCCUAACACAUGCAAGUCGAACGGUAACAGGAAACAGCUUGCUGUUUCGCUGACGAGUGGCGGACGGGUGAGUAAUGUCUGGGAAACUGCCUGAUGGAGGGGGAUAACUACUGGAGACGGUAGCUAAUACCGCAUAACGUCGCAAGACCAAAGAGGGGGACCUUCGGGCCUCUUGCCAUCGGAUGUGCCCAGAUGGGAUUAGCUAGUAGGUGGGGUAACGGCUCACCUAGGCGACGAUCCCUAGCUGGUCUGAGAGGAUGACCAGCCACACUGGAACUGAGACACGGUCCAGACUCCUACGGGAGGCAGCAGUGGGGAAUAUUGCACAAUGGGCGCAAGCCUGAUGCAGCCAUGCCGCGUGUAUGAAGAAGGCCUUCGGGUUGUAAAGUACUUUCAGCGGGGAUGAAGGGAGUAAAGUUAAUACCUUGGCUCAUUGACGUUACCCGCAGAAGAAGCACCGGCUAACUCCGUG